rnacentral:misc_RNA from 1 species
CAACCCUCGAGCCCCCGUGGCCCGGCGUUGGGGAUCCGCCCAGGCGGUCCCCGAAAACCAGUGGCGGACCCGUAGGGCCCUUCUUUGCGUAGUAGCAUCAGCCUCGCAUCGGAAGCUCUCGGGACUCCUCGCCUCUAAACCCCCCCAAAAGCCCGCUCCGGCGGCGCCAA